UUUUGAUUAAUUGGGAAGGAAUGUUGCAAAUGAGUUGUAAUUGAAAUGCAUUUAUCAUAUCUCAACCAAAUAAUAUAAAUAUACAGGGAUUUAGUGUCCACACCAUUGGUCUCAAAACUGGCGUUUUCAAGUUACUGACUAGAAACAACCAUGAACAUAAAACUUCUAGCGACACUUUUGAUGGUGGGUCUAAUGGUGUCCACAGUCAGCGCAGUCACCUGCAAGGUCGGAUGUAAUAACUCGCUCAGAAUCUGUACAGCAGGAUGCAAGCCAAAACCAUUCACGGAGAGAAGGAAGUGCAACAGCAACUGCGAGACCGUUUCCGACCUCUGCCAAAAGGGCUGCGACAGAAACAAACCCACUCCAUGGAAGAACUAGGCCAUGUAUACUGAAAUUUUCAGUAAACAUUUGAAAUAAAGAAACAUUGCAAACUGUUUAGAA